AUAAUAAUUAAGCACACAAGAUUAUCGUGACAGAAAUCAAGUUGCCUAAAUUCUAAAAGCUCACUCACACUCAAACUCACUGAGUGUGUCAAAGCAAUCACGUUCCUGCUGAUCAAUGAUAGAGUCCUUCAUCAAUCACUGAUGGUCCAUUUUGGUACAGAUUGCAUUGUACACAUUUUUCUUCAUAAUAUUAUUUUCUAAUGCAUGGUAAAAAACGCGAUUACCCAACCCAUAUCUCUUCGGUAACAACCCGGUGUGUAAAUAAUGAACAGUCCCUAACUGAAAUCUAUUUCAAUUACA
rnacentral:lncRNA from 1 species